AACGAUGAACCAGAGCUUGCUCUGGGGAUUAGUGGCGAACGGGUGAGUAACACGUGAGUAACCUGCCCUUGACUCUGGGAUAAGCGUUGGAAACGACGUCUAAUACCGGAUAUGACACCUGACCGCAUGGUCUGGGUGUGGAAAGAAUUUUGGUCAAGGAUGGACUCGCGGCCUAUCAGGUAGUUGGUGAGGUAACGGCUCACCAAGCCGACGACGGGUAGCCGGCCUGAGAGGGUGACCGGCCACACUGGGACUGAGACACGGCCCAGACUCCUACGGGAGGCAGCAGUGGGGAAUAUUGCACAAUGGGCGAAAGCCUGAUGCAGCAACGCCGCGUGAGGGACGACGGCCUUCGGGUUGUAAACCUCUUUUAGUAGGGAAGAAGCGAAAGUGACGGUACCUGCAGAAAAAGCACCGGCUAACUACGUGCCAGCAGCCGCGGUAAUACGUAGGGUGCAAGCGUUGUCCGGAAUUAUUGGGCGUAAAGAGCUCGUAGGCGGUUUGUCGCGUCUGCUGUGAAAUCUGGGGGCUCAACCCCCAGCCUGCAGUGGGUACGGGCAGACUAGAGUGCGGUAGGGGAGAUUGGAAUUCCUGGUGUAGCGGUGGAAUGCGCAGAUAUCAGGAGGAACACCGAUGGCGAAGGCAGAUCUCUGGGCCGUAACUGACGCUGAGGAGCGAAAGCAUGGGGAGCGAACAGGAUUAGAUACCCUGGUAGUCCAUGCCGUAAACGUUGGGAACUAGAUGUAGGGGCCAUUCCACGGUUUCUGUGUCGCAGCUAACGCAUUAAGUUCCCCGCCUGGGGAGUACGGCCGCAAGGCUAAAACUCAAAGGAAUUGACGGGGGCCCGCACAAGCGGCGGAGCAUGCGGAUUAAUUCGAUGCAACGCGAAGAACCUUACCAAGGCUUGACAUAUACCGGAAACGUCCAGAGAUGGUCGCCCCGCAAGGUCGGUAUACAGGUGGUGCAUGGUUGUCGUCAGCUCGUGUCGUGAGAUGUUGGGUUAAGUCCCGCAACGAGCGCAACCCUCGUUCUAUGUUGCCAGCACGUUAUGGUGGGAACUCAUAGGAGACUGCCGGGGUCACUCGGAGGAAAG
rnacentral:rRNA from 1 species